AUGGGCGAUUUCAAAGUAGAAAUAGAUGUUCAGUCCUACUUGACGAUUGUAGACGGUAAAAGAGUUUACAGAAGGGGCAAAACAUGGGACUUCAUGGUCGGUCGGCACUUGUCUAUGGUGUGGAUAAAGGAGGUUGUGGAGGAGGAGUUCAAGUGGUCUCCUGAUCAGAGAAUGACCAUUUGGUAUGGAAGAGGAUAUAACACCAUCCCAUUGAUCUGUGAAUCAGAGAUAGCUGAAUUGUUUGAUAGGUGUUCUAACACGAAAAUAGUGAGGUUUGGUGUGACCAUUGAGAACAAACAACAACACAAGGAACAAGCUCCUGUCAUGGCGAGGUUUGGUGUGACCAUUGCUGAAAUUUGUCAAAAUGCUGCUGAAAAGUUGCUAUCUUGUUGGAUGAUGCAAAGUAAGAUUAUAUUGAGUUGGUGA
rnacentral:rRNA from 1 species